UUUGCUUGGGAACUUAUUUAUGAAUUUUAAUGACUUUAAAGAUAUUAAAAUUAUAUUUUUGGUUGUAUAUGUCAAAGUUCUGUUACCUGUGAAAUAAAUAGGGUAGUGGAAGUUUACUUGACCCAAUUAGUGCUGUGGUGGGGGUUGUAAGGUUGGGUUAUUUUUCAAUUGAAUUCAAUAUUUCGGCUGAUAUUGAAAAAAUUGCUAGUUUGGAUGCUUUUUCAGAAGAUUUAAAGAUUUUUUAGCCAUAGUUCUUGAGAUUUAUAUAAUUGCGUUUUUAAUGUACUAUGUGCUGAUUAAGUUUUAAUCUUGAUUCAUUUCAGGAGAACCAAUCAGAGAAGCCGUUGCUUCGGCGUUCGUGCAACCGGGCCUACGUGUGGAAAAUACCAAAAUUUGGGAAUGAAUAGAGCAGUUUGUUGUGAACAUGGAAUGAAGGAGUAUGCAGCUUGGCACACUGAUUCACCCUUGUCAUGGACCACAGCUUUCAAGUAUGGCACUUGACAGGAGUGAGAUGAAGUUUGGUUGUGUUGGGGUCACUGUUGAACUAUGGAGCUUGGCAUACUGGUUCCGGUCUUGGACCACGGUAUUUGAAAGGUAGGCCACUUAUUUAUUU